rnacentral:rRNA from 1 species
GACGAACGCUGGCGGCGUGCCUAAUACAUGCAAGUAGAACGCUGAAGGAGGAGCUUGCUUCUCUGGAUGAGUUGCGAACGGGUGAGUAACGCGUAGGUAACCUGCCUGGUAGCGGGGGAUAACUAUUGGAAACGAUAGCUAAUACCGCAUAAUAGUAGAUGUCGCAUGACAUUUGCUUAAAAGGUGCAAUUGCAUCACUACCAGAUGGACCUGCGUUGUAUUAGCUAGUUGGUGAGGUAUCGGCUCACCAAGGCAACGAUACAUAGCCGACCUGAGAGGGUGAUCGGCCACACUGGGACUGAGACACGGCCCAGACUCCUACGGGAGGCAGCAGUAGGGAAUCUUCGGCAAUGGACGGAAGUCUGACCGAGCAACGCCGCGUGAGUGAAGAAGGUUGUCGGAUCGUAAAGCUCUGUUGUAAGAGAAGAACGAGUGUGAGAGUGGAAAGUUCACACUGUGACGGUAUCUUACCAGAAAGGGACGGCUAACUACGUG